UACGGAGGGUGCGAGCGUUGUCCGGAAUCACUGGGCGUAAAGGGCGCGUAGGUGGCGCGGGCAGUCAACGGUGAAAGUUCGGGCUCAACCCUGAAUCGGCCGUCGAUACUCCCGUGCUUGAGCACUGUAGAGGCAGAUGGAAUUCCGGGUGUAGCGGUGGAAUGCGUAGAGAUCCGGAAGAACACCGGUGGCGAAGGCGGUCUGCUGGGCAGUAGCUGACACUGAGGCGCGACAGCGUGGGGAGCAAACAGG
rnacentral:rRNA from 1 species